UGUCUCCUCCAACACCUCCCAAGGUUUGGAUUCAAGCCCGCGCCGCAAGGUCUCGCGGGCUUUUUUUU
rnacentral:ncRNA from 1 species